CUAAAAAUUCAUUCAAGAAAUCAAUCUGCAAAGGACUAAGGGCGGUAUUCAUAGUCAUAACUUUUAUUUAAGUAAGACUUAAAUUAAUGCUUAAGUCUAUCUCUUGAUGCACAGUUGAUACUUGGCUCGAUCUUGAGUUCAUAGAAAUAAGAUAGACUUGACAAAAACGGACUUGUUUGCAUUCCGAAUUGAGAUGGCGUUUGUGUAUUCAUAGUCGUUACUUUGUUUAUAAGAAGCAAUUUCUUGAUGCGUAUAUAUUAAUACUCGUAUAAGAUGAACUUAUUCGUAAAUGAAGUAGAGCUUAUUUAUAAAUAAGUUCUAUUUCAUCAAGUCAACUGCGAACAUGACUUAUUUCCACACAACGCGUGAUUUUGUAUAUACAUCUAACCUAAAAAGCUAUCUUAACGUAUAAUCACAACUGCUAAGUCACUUCAUGUCUUAAAGAUGCUAAUUGCAUGCUUAUUGGUCCUGAUGUAACUCAUCCUUCUCCUCAUGCCAUUAAUAUACUUUCUAUAGCAGCGAGAUGGAGUAAGCAAAGGACAACUUGCUCAGGUUAUGUAUACCGAAUUAACUGCUAUUAAACGUGAAACACAAGCAUACAAAAUAAAAGUAGUAGUUACUUGUUAAGUUACUUGUUAAGAUUAUAUAUUGGUUUUGUUUCAUUGUUUUGAUACUUUUCUUAAUAUGGUUAGAGAUUUUUGUUUCUAUGUGUUACGACGUGAAAUCUUCAUUAUCACGAAAAAUUUAUACGAUCACAUACCGAACAAUGUUGUGGACGAAUUUUUUCACAAUCAACAAAAAACACUUUGCGAUUUCUCAAUAAAACAAUCACUACACAUAGAAACAAAAAUCUCUAACCAUAUUAAGAAAAGUAUCAAAACAAUGAACAGAACUUUAAAACCAAUAACUUAUUACGCUUACAAUAAAAAACAAACAGCUAAUAACCAACAUAUAAAUAAAAAGAAUUGCUUUUCCUAUUCUCUUAUAAAACACACAAAUAAUAAUAACAACCAAAUUACGGUUUCCAUUAACCCAAAUGGAUUUGUUGAGAAAUCUGCAUCUUGCACAUUUUUUGAAAUUAAAGAAAAAUGGUUUAUCAAUUUAACACAAGUAAAUAUUCCCAAAGAUGUAGUUAGUAUUAUGCAAUUGGGAAAUAACUUUAGUCUUUCAAGCCAUAAUAAGAGAUCGAUUUUAAAAUGCAUAAAGGAUUUCGAGAACAACAUUAAAAACGUCAAUAAAAAAAUUUCGGAGACUGCGAGAUCAAGGUUUAUUCCCAUUUUAAACAAUUAUUUAACAGACACUCCAAAAUUAAAUGAACUCGAUAGACUAAUAUUAAAUAAAACAAAGCAAGUUUCCAAUUAUAUUAAACAACAUCCUGAGAUAACAUUCACGAGAGCAGACAAAGGAA